GUACUCUGUGUGUGUAUGUAAGUGGAGGAAGAAGCUUGGCUAAUCCAUGAAAUCAAUUCAGAAGAAUCAAGCUGAUUUAUAACAGUUCAAGGCUCCAUGGUGGUAGGUUCAACUUUACUGCUUAUCUCUGCCCCAGACACUCAUGGAUGACUUAUUAAAAGUGGAGGUGAAAAUGUAGGCUCAUACUUAUAAUCCUGAAGUGGCGUGACUGAGGCAGAGGGAUGGAAAGUUCAAAGCCAAUCUCAUCUCCACAGUGACACCCUGUCUCAAAAACAAUGAAAAGUUAGAUGUUCUUAGGUGGAAUCUGUGUCCAUCUGUCUUGAAAAAAAUAUAUAUAUUUACAUUUAGCUUAGACACACACACACACACACACACACACGUUACAAUGUGCUACAAUGUACUUGUGUAGGUUACAGGACAACUUGCAAGAGUUGGUUCUCUCCUUCCACCAUGUAGGCCUGGGGGAUUGAACUCAGGUCAUCAAGCUUAGCUGCAAGUGUCUUUACCCACUGAGACACACUACCAGCCCCAGUCGGUGUUUUGAGAUAAGGCCUCACUAUGUGGGCCCUGGUUCACUAUGUUGCCCAGACUGGAUUUCAAACUCAUGGCAAUUUUUGUGCUUCUGCCUUCCAAGUUCUGGUUUCAUAGGUAGGCAAAAUGGGAGAGGACAGAUGGCCUCCUAGCUACAUUUUUGCCUUUAAUUUUUCUUACAUUUAAUUAAUUCUUCAUUAAUUAAUUAUUGUAUGGAGUGGAGAGAAUGUAUGCAUGCCACAAAAGGACAUCUUACAGGGAAUGGUUGUCUCCUUCCACCAUGUGGUACCAGGGAUAGAACUCGGGUCAUCAGACUUGGCAGCAAGCACUACUGAGCCAUCUGUCCUCUCCCAUUUUGCCUUUAAACAAGUAAUGAAGAAGGAUUCCUAAAGUAGGUGGCUUACUACGGGAGUGCAUCUGUAGAGAGUUCUGGAAACAUUUGUUUGCUAUGUGGCGUCAUACGCAGAAGCUAAGAUUCCCACCAACUCAAUGUCAUAGUUAUUCUUUCUACCACAUUUUAUGGUUAGGAAAGUAGACUACACAAAAGAGAGGCUAGGCAAGCCACACAAGGUGGUGAUCAGCAAGUGGCAGGGCUGGGAUUUGAACCCAAAUUCCUCACUGGCUCAUUCUGAAAAGAAGUGAAGGGGACAGAAGACAUGUAUUUGGCGGAAAGCCUGUGAGAGUCCGGCCUUCGCUCUGCAGCCAGUGGGAGCUGUGGGAAGCUUUCUGAGGUAUAUGUGGAGAAAGGAGCCCAUUCACUGACAGUCUAGUCUCAGAAGAGUUACUCCAACAUCCAACCGUUCUUUUCUAGAGCUGGAAAAUCCAUCUCUAACAGCUGUCCUUUCUUUUUUCUUUUUCUUUUGUUUUUCAGGACAAGGUUUCUGUUUGUAAGCAGCCCUGGCUCUGUCCUGGAACUCACUUUCCAAGGCAACCUUGAAGAUAAGAGUGCAAACUUGGGAGUUACUGCUUGCUUUUGUCUUCUUUUCCCUGUAGCAAUUACAAAUGCCAACCUUGGCUCAGCAAGUGCCAAGGGCUCUCUGCAUGCAUUACCUCAUGAAAAUUCAGGCAGGAAAACCGAGAGAGCCUACCGAGAGCUGCCCCGUCCACUGAAGAGUCUACUGAUGUCAGAGAGGUAAUGGGAUUGCCAAGACCACCAGCAAUACAAGAUGGAGGAAGGGUCCAUCUCCCUACAGUAUCCCAGGGCUCUGUGCGAAGACCUCCUCUCAGACAAGCCUCCCCUGACUCUGACUCUUACUGCCUAUUUGUACUCACUGGAGUCUACCUCCCUAAGGUGGCAAGCAGGCAGGACCCAGCUCCUUCCGGGCCUUGCUCCAUGAGCAGGGCCUUACAAAUCAUUUUGGUGGUCCUUAUCACACAGCAGCUACUGGGAAGUGGAAAUGCCCCUGAGGAACAGAGAUAUGCCACGGGUAUAAGACACAGUCCUGUCUCCAAAGACACGAUGUAAAAAUGAAAGACAAGACGCUGGAGAGUUCUGGACUCCAGUGUGAACAUACUUCACAUUGCAGAACUGAGUGCUCAAAAGUGGGUUAAAGUGGCUGGCAAGGGCUCAGCAGGUGAGAGCACUUGAUGCCAAGCCUUGCAACCUGUUGGAUUCAGUAUGGUAGAAGGAGAGAACCGACUCCCCCAAGCUGUCUUCUGAUACAGGCUGUGGUACAUGUGUGCCCACCUCAAGACAAAGAAUGCAACUUGGAAAUUAAUUUUUAAAAGUGGGCUGCUGGUCUGUUCCUACCGUGUGGUCUCACUGUCCACUGUGGGUAGAGCUAGUGCGAUACUAUUUAAAUAGAAUGUUCAUUUUUUAAUAUUAGCCACAGCACUGGAUAGGAUCCCUAUACUUUUAUGAACCGUUUCCUGUGUUCCUUAAUCUAUUUUGAGAAAUUUUGUGGUCCUUUUUCUUUUUAAAAAACAAAAACAAUAAACAAAAAAACUAUGUCUUACAGUUCAAGUUCGUAGAUUUUAACAUGCAAGUUUUAAAAGAUGCUGUAGCCUUCCGGCUGAUAUUUGUCUCUCCUGGACCUAGAACCUGCAUUUUUAAGUGCAGAAGAAAGCCUCCUUAAGUAGCAUGCUUUUCUGACUUCCAUGCUUAGAGUUAAAGAAGAAGCACACACACACACAUGCACGCACAUGCACACACACACACCACACCACACUACACACACACACCACACACACAUCCACACACACCACACCACACUACACACAUACACAUCACACACACACACACACACACAUCACACACACACACACACACACACACACACACACACACACACACACUUUCAGUAGAAUACAAUUUUUAUCUUGUGAACACUAAUGUAUUAAGCUUGCUAUACAUUAAAGCAAAUAAUAUAUAUUUUUAUUUGAAUGGUAUAUAUAAAUUAGAUGUUAUAACUAGUGGGGUGGUCUUCAUUUCGUUUAAGAUACUUCCACUGAACAAGGUCAAUUGGUUACCUCAGUAUUAUAGCCAAUAUAACCCAAGGGACCAUUUCUCCCUAAGUCUGUGUUAUUCUUUAUUGUGUGAAUUCUGCAUUUUUGUGAUUCCUAAAACUGUUCAAGAGAUGAGUGAACUGGCUUCCUGUGGCAAUAAAGGAUUUCUCUGCCUCACC
rnacentral:lncRNA from 1 species